UUCACCCUCAGUUGACCUAAACAUGGCAUUUGGAGCUCACAAUGGCGUGUGCUUUUCCUUAUUUUUCAUAACUUUCUUGGUAAUAUUUUCUGCCACUGCUCGAAGCCCUAGUCACUUCUCAAAUGAUGAAGUUGCUUCGAGCAUGGUGGGGAGGUCAUUGAAGGUAAUAAACCUUGAAGACUAUGGUGGACCAACUGCAAUUCGUGAGCACGAUCCAUGGAAGGGGGCUAGUCGGGGAGGUAAUGCAGGGCGAAAAGGCUGAGCCUGAGAGAUUAUUGGAAAUGUAUAAUAGUUUACCUUAUUUCAGUUAAUGCAGUCAAUGCAAUAUAUACUUAACCUUUUAUAUUAUAAACAUAUGUACUUUUGAGGUCGAUGAAGAGUAAAAUAAUUUCUCUGGAAGAAUGGGAAGAUUUAAAGGAA